AUUGAACGCUGGCGGAAUGCUUUACACAUGCAAGUCGAACGGCAGCACGGACUUCGGUCUGGUGGCGAGUGGCGAACGGGUGAGUAAUGUAUCGGAACGUGCCCAGUCGUGGGGGAUAACGUAGUGAAAAUUACGCUAAUACCGCAUACGAUCUAUGGAUGAAAGCGGGGGACCGUAAGGCCUCGCGCGAUUGGAGCGGCCGAUAUCAGAUUAGGUAGUUGGUGGGGUAAAGGCUCACCAAGCCGACGAUCUGUAGCUGGUCUGAGAGGACGACCAGCCACACUGGAACUGAGACACGGUCCAGACUCCUACGGGAGGCAGCAGUGGGGAAUUUUGGACAAUGGGCGCAAGCCUGAUCCAGCCAUUCCGCGUGCAGGAUGAAGGCCCUCGGGUUGUAAACUGCUUUUGUACGGAACGAAAAGGUCCUGGUUAAUACCUGGGGCUCAUGACGGUACCGUAAGAAUAAGCACCGGCUAACUACGUGCCAGCAGCCGCCGCCG
rnacentral:rRNA from 1 species